UACGAAGGGGGCUAGCGUUGUUCGGAUUUACUGGGCGUAAAGCGCACGUAGGCGGGUCGUUAAGUCAGGGGUGAAAUCCCGGAGCUCAACUCCGGAACUGCCUUUGAUACUGGCGACCUUGAGGCUGGAAGAGGUUAGUGGAAUUCCCAGUGUAGAGGUGAAAUUCGUAGAUAUUGGGAAGAACACCAGUGGCGAAGGCGGCUAACUGGUCCGAGAUC
rnacentral:rRNA from 1 species